CCGGCCUUAGCUCAGUUGGUAGAGCGGAAGACUGUAGUGAAUGCUGUCAUCUUUAGGUCACUAGUUCGAAUCUGGUAGGCCGGA
rfam:Rhizopus microsporus genome assembly, contig: SCAF285